CUCCCCAUAUCUCUCUCACACUCUCAUUCUCCAACACACACACAUCUCUCUUCUUUCUCUCUCUAGAAAACUCUCUCUACCUUAUCUCUACUUUUUCUCUCCAAACACCACUCCAUUCUCUCUUCCUCCCUCUAAGAACCAAUAAAUUUUCCAGAAAACAAACCCAAGAACACUCCUCAAACUCGAAAUCUUCAUCAUCUUGUGGUAUCCUUGAAGGAAUUGAUAGUGGUACAAGUGGAACUUAGCUCAAGGCACCAUUUGCAUCAUCUCAAUGCAUAUUGAAUCAUCGAGUAAGUGACACUUAGGGACACUUCACUUUUAGGAGCAUUCGCAUGUGUUGUAUUUCAAUUUACAUUGUAAUUUCUUUUAAAAGUUGUUCAAACCCAUUGUAAAAUUGUAAUGAUUUUUAAUACUAUGGUUGAUGUUGUCUUUUAA